rnacentral:rRNA from 1 species
GAUGAACGCUGGCGGCGUGCCUAAUACAUGCAAGUCGAGCGAACAGACGAGGAGCUUGCUCCUCUGACGUUAGCGGCGGACGGGUGAGUAACACGUGGAUAACCUACCUAUAAGACUGGGAUAACUUCGGGAAACCGGAGCUAAUACCGGAUAAUAUAUUGAACCGCAUGGUUCAAUAGUGAAAGACGGUUUUGCUGUCACUUAUAGAUGGAUCCGCGCCGCAUUAGCUAGUUGGUAAGGUAACGGCUUACCAAGGCGACGAUGCGUAGCCGACCUGAGAGGGUGAUCGGCCACACUGGAAGUGAGACACGGUCCAGACUCCUACGGGAGGCAGCAGUAGGGAAUCUUCCGCAAGGGGCGAAAGCCUGACGGAGCAACGCAGCGGGAGUGAUGAAGGUCUUCGGAUCGUAAAACUCUGUUAUUAGGGAAGAACAAAUGUGUAAGUAACGAUGCACGUCUUGACGGUACCUAAGCAGAAAGCCACGGCUAACUACGU